AAGGGACCUAGCGUAGUUCGGAAUUACUGGGCUUAAAGAGUUCGUAGGUGGUUGAAAAAGUUGGUGGUGAAAUCCCAGAGCUUAACUCUGGAACUGCCAUCAAAACUUUUCAGCUAGAGUAUGAUAGAGGAAAGCAGAAUUUCUAGUGUAGAGGUGAAAUUCGUAGAUAUUAGAAAGAAUACCAAUUGCGAAGGCAGCUUUCUGGAUCAUUACUGACACUGAGGAACGAAAGCAUGGGUAGCGAAGAGGAUUAGAUACCCUCGUAGUCCAUGCCGUAAACGAUGUGUGUUAGACGUUGGAAAUUUAUUUUUAGUGUCGCAGGGAAACCGAUAAACACACCGCCUGGGGAGUACGACCGCAAGGUUAAAACUCAAAUGAAUUGACGGGGACCCGCACAAGUAGUGGAGCAUGUGGUUUAAUUCGAAGAUACGCGCAGAACCUUACCAACACUUGACAUGUUCGUCGCGACUCUAAGAGAUUAGAGUUUUCGGUUCGGCCGGACGAAACACAGGUGCUGCAUGGCUGUCGUCAGCUCGUGUCGUGAGAUGUUGGGUUAAGUCCCGCAACGAGCGCAACCCUCACUUUUAGUUGCCAUCAUUAAGUUGGGCACUCUGAAAGAACUGCCAGUGAUAAGCUGGAGGAAGGUGGGGAUGACGUCAAGUCCUCAUGGCCCUUACGUGUUGGGCUACACACGUGCUACAAUGGCAUCUACAACAGGAAGCAAAACGGCAACGUUAAGCAAAUCCCGAAAAGAUGCCUCAGUUCGGAUUGCACUCUGCAACUCGAGUGCAUGAAGCUGGAAUUACUAGUAAUCGUGGAUCAGCGUGCCACGGUGAAUGCGUUCCCGGGUCUUGUACACACCGCCCGUCACACCAUGGGAGUUGGUUCUACCUUAAGGCAAGGUUUUAAACCCUUGACCACGGUAUAGUCAGCGACUGGGGUGAAGUCGUAACAAGGUAGCCGUAGGGGAACCUGCGGCUGGAUUACCUCCUUUCUAAGGAUGAGUGAAAGUAAAAUUUCACUCUAAAUAAUAUACAUCGGUAAUGUUGACCGUCCUCAUUUCUCUUCUUAAAGUAAUGUUUCCUUCUUGUAGGGCCGGUAGCUCAGUUGGUUAGAGCACACCCUUGAUAAGGGUGGGGUCGAAAGUUCGAGUCUUUCUCGGCCCACCAAAAACCUAAAUGGGGGAUUAGCUCAUCUGGGAGAGCGCCUGAUUUGCAUUCAGGAGGUAGCAGGUUCGAUCCCUGUAUCCUCCACCAGGAAACAUUUAGUUAUUAAAACUGUAAAUAAAAAUAAUUUAUAUCAAUAUCUAUAUCCGAACAUUAAAAGUUAUUAUUUAAUGUUCAAAAUAAAAAUUUGAUCACAACAUAGAUAAAUUUUCUGUUAAAAGAAUUUUUUUCUGUGCAUAAAUCAAGCGUUUAAGGGCGUGUAGUGGAUGCCUUGGCACUGAAAGCCGAUGAAGGACGUGAUAUACUGCGAUAAGUUUCGGGGAGCUGUAUGUAAGCUUUGAUCCGAAAAUUU
rnacentral:sRNA from 1 species